rnacentral:lncRNA from 1 species
CCAGCCGAUUUAAGAGAAAACAUCAAGGAAAGUGAAUGGGUUGAACAUUCAAAUCUUGGUCUCUACUAAUUGGAAGCAUUUCCUUUCCUUUGUAGGUCCUGGUUCCCAUUUGUAAUUGGCACCCUAAUGAAACCGUUUUCUGUAGCCCUGGAAAUGGCUGAAAAUGAGGGGAGGGAAAUAAAGUGCUAUAAUUCAGAGCAUGGAGCACACCUUCCUGGUUCACCUGAGUUGGAUUCGGAGAGGUAAAAUGGCCAUUACCUCGUCUAAGCUGCCACUUACAGACACAGUACAGGAUGAGGCCCAGGCCCACAGAGACAACGAUGAUGGCCACAGCUAAGAUGAUCCAGAAAUUAUUCCUCCACCAGCUCAUUGCAGUGGAAUCCUGAGAAGAAUGGAGAGAGAAGAAUGAGGCCUCCUGGAGUCACAAAGCCUGGAGCAACAGGAGAGCCACUAAAGAAGACGGAACAGCUAGUUCCUGCCUUAAUGAUUAACCGACCUCGCAACAGUCCACCUUGUGAUAUGUUCCUGCCCUACCCUAACUAAUCCAUCCACCUUGUGAUAUGUUCCUGCCCUACCCUAACUAAUCCAUCCACCGCUGUGACAUGUUCCUGCCCUACCCUAACUAAUCCAUCCACUUUGUGAUAUGUUCCUUCCCUACCCUAACUAAUCCAUCCACCUUGUGAUAUGUUCCUGCCCUUCCCCAACUAAUCCAUCCACCUUGUGAUAUCGUGCCUUGUGACUUCCCCCACCUUGUGACUAUCCACCUUGUAACAUUCUUCCCCUGCCCAAAAAAACUGCCCCUAACUGUAACUUUCCACUACCUACCCCAAACCUAUAGAACCAGUUCCACUCCCACCACCCUUCGCUG